rnacentral:rRNA from 1 species
CAGUCGCCGCGGUAAUACGAAGGGGGCUAGCGUUGUUCGGAAUUACUGGGCGUAAAGCGCACGUAGGCGGACAUUUAAGUCAGGGGUGAAAUCCCGGGGCUCAACCCCGGAACUGCCUUUGAUACUGGGUGUCUAGAGUAUGGAAGAGGUGAGUGGAAUUCCGAGUGUAGAGGUGAAAUUCGUAGAUAUUCGGAGGAACACCAGUGGCGAAGGCGGCUCACUGGUCCAUUACUGACGCUGAGGUGCGAAAGCGUGGGGAGCAAACAGGAUUAGAUACCCCGGUAGUCCCUGUCUCUUAUAC